UUUCGGUAGGUGAACCUGCGGAAGGAUCAUUAUUGUAUAACCGAGGUGCGAGGGCUGUCGCUGACCCGAAAGGUCGUGCACGCCCGAGUGCCCUCACACACAUCCAUCUCACCCCUAUGUGCACCACCGCGUGGGUCCCCCUUUGGCUUGUUCGGAGGGGGGCUUACGUUUUCACACAAACUUUGUAUGCAGUGUAGAAUGUAUUUUUUGUUUUUGCGAUCACGCAAUCAAUACAACUUUCAACAACGGAUCUCUUGGCUCUC
rnacentral:misc_RNA from 1 species